rnacentral:rRNA from 1 species
UGGGCGGGACGGGUGAGUAAUGUCUGGGAAACUGCCUGAUGGAGGGGGAUAACUACUGGAAACGGUAGCUAAUACCGCAUAACGUCGCAAGACCAAAGAGGGGGACCUUAGGGCCUCUUGCCAUCGGAUGUGCCCAGAUGGGAUUAGCUAGUAGGUGGGGUAACGGCUCACCUAGGCGACGAUCCCUAGCUGGUCUGAGAGGAUGACCAGCCACACUGGAACUGAGACACGGUCCAG